AAUAAACUAAACUGGCUGAACCGAAAACCUACGCGGUCACGGAGAAUGCGUUCAAACUCCACACAGACAGCAUCCGAGGUUCACAAGUUCAUAAGUUCAAGGAGCCAUUCGGCCCAUCAAGUCUACUCCACCAUUCAAUCAUGGCCAACCCAUCUUCCCAUCUCAAGCCCAUCCUCCCGCCUCUCCUCAUAACCCCAGGCACCCCUGAAGUCAGUAUCGAACCCGGGUCUCCAGCGCUGGGAUGCAGCGGCUCCACCAGUUGAAAUCCUAAAAACAGCCAGCACUGAAAGGGUUACAUUCUUCCUGCGUUUGUAUAUUCUUUUAUUUUGUGAUCAUAUUCCCCAGGGUCUGGUUUUCCCUUUUAUUGCCGUUUCUGGCAUUUCGGGGUUUUUUUGUUGUCGUAUGAAGGAAUACCUGAGAACUGUUCAAACACUUGACAUGUGUUUUGCUUUAUGUGCCCGUCCAUUCUGAAGUCCCAGGAGAUACAGAUAUAAGAAAGCAUUAGGCUGUAAAGUUUUACUUUAAUAAGCCAGGCACACCGCUGCGAAUACAAACGCUAUUCUCACCCUGGACUGACAAUUUGCUCCAGAAUAAUAUCAGGGCAGUGGAACGUUUUGCCAAACUUAUCAUCUCACAAAGCCAUAAGUCCAACGGUGAAGGAUUCCAGCAUUUAGUAGGUCUCGGAAACAGGAUUUAAAGUGGACCUACCACCCUGUUCGUUCUAUGAUACCAUACGUUACGAAAAACUUUAUUUAUCUCAGAGGGAAAUUGAUCUGCCAACGUUGAAAGGAUACAGUUACAAGGCAUUGAAAGUGUUGUGUUUCACUGCAGAAUAUGAGAAUAUUUGCAGGCUUUACAAACACUUACCUCCGCUGAAGGCCCCAGGAUGGACAAAUACAACAGACUGUCAAAUCCAACAUACAAGUCAAACAAUCAUAACAUAUCCUCCCUGCAUUGGGCAUUUCAGUUUUCGGCAAAUUAUAAAUAUUAGUUUAAUAUACAUUUAAUUUUCAUGUUAUAAGGUUAAGGAAGAAAAGAGCAAUUGAGGUAUUGAAACCAUUUUUAUCCAUGAACUGUCCCUCUACUUUUUCUAUUUUAACAAUUAGAGGUAAGAUGAAGCAUGAAAAUGUAGAAGCAACAUUAAUUUUUACCAAUAUUAAGUUUAUUAGAUAAAAGCAUAAGCUCGAUUUAGGAACAGCUUCCUCCCAACUGUUGUCAGACUACUGAACAUUCCUCCCAGAAACCCUGGGCUGUCUUCCUGAUCUUCCAACCUACCUCAUUGGAGACAUUGCACUUUUUCUCUAUAAUUUUAACGCUAACAUUUUGUUCUAUGUUCUAUGAAACAGGAUCAACUUAAAAUAUCAGUGGCAAUAUGUUACGAUAAUCUACAAAUUUGACCUCUCCAAUUAAACCCUUUCUCCGGCAAUGGUCUGUUUGUCAAGAGUGAUAGCAUUAUGAAGUUUUACAGAACGGAAACGGGCCCUUUGGCCCAACUUGACCACACUGAACCAGUUGCCUACAUUUCAAGUUCAAGUUUGUGUUUAUUGUCACUUAACCAACUAAGGUACCGUGGAAUUUGAGUUACCAUGCAGCCACACUAAGUGAAAAGCAAAAAAAACGAUUUAACACAAUUUAACAUAGACAUCCGCCACAGUGGAAUCCACAUUCCUCACUGUGAUGGAAGGCAAUAAAGUUCAGUCAUCUUCCCUCCUUUGUUCACCCGUGGUGGUCGGGGCCUUUGAACCCUCUGCAGUUUGCUGCUGCCGUACGUUAGGGCCCAUAUUCCUCGAAACCUUUCCCACCCAUGUAGCUAAUCGAAUUGUGUAUCCUGAUAAACACGUUGGCAUAGAAACACAGAUGGCGACGUUUGGUGGAUGGGUUUAACUAUUUAAUCACCACCACC